rnacentral:rRNA from 1 species
UACGUAGGGUGCAAGCGUUAAUCGGAAUUACUGGGCGUAAAGGGUGCGCAGGCGGUCGGGUGUGUCAGAUGUGAAAUCCCGAGGCUCAACCUCGGAACUGCGUCUGAAACUACUCGACUAGAGUACUGGAGAGGGUAACGGAAUUCACGGUGUAGCAGCGAAAUGCGUAGAUAUCGUGAGGAACACCAGAGGCGAAGGCGGUUACCUGGACAGUUACUGACGCUCAGGCACGAAAGCAUGGGGAGCAAAAGGG